UCGUCGCGGCGACGUGGGCGGUCGCCGCCGGCGACGUCGCGAGAAUUCCACUGAACCUUAUCAUUUAGAGGAAGGAGAAGUCGUAACAAGGUUUCCGUAGGUGAACCUGCGGAAGGAUCAUUGUCGAACCUGCAAGGCAGAAGACCUGUGAACAUGUAAAUACAACCCGGUGAUGGGGAUAUGGUCCUUGGUCCUUAUCCCCUUCCCCUCCCUGCAUGCGUGUGUGGAGCUCCGUUUGGGGUGCCAUGCAUGUCAUGUUGGGAUUUAACAAACCCCGGCACGGAAUGUGCCAAGGAAAACAAAAGUGAGAAGGACUCGUCUUGUCUUGCCCCGUUCGCGGUGUGCAAGCGGGUUGUGGCCUCUUUGUAAUUAAAAACGACUCUCGGCAACGGAUAUCUCGGCUCACGCAUCGAUGAAGAACGUAGCAAAAUGCGAUACUUGGUGUGAAUUGCAGAAUCCCGUGAACCAUCGAGUUUUUGAACGCAAGUUGCGCCCAAAGCCAUCCGGCCGAGGGCACGCCUGCCUGGGCGUCACGCUUCGCGUCGCCCCCCACCAUAUAAUACCCAACGGGUACUCAUGGUGUUUGGGGCGGAGAUUGGCCUCCCGUACUUGUAUUGCGGUUGGCCUAAAAAUGAGUCCCCUUCAGCGGACGCACGACUAGUGGUGGUUGAACAGACCCUCGUCCUUAUCGUGUGUCGUGAGCUGCUAGGGAAGCCCUCACCAAAGACCCCAUUGCAUUGUUUUUUGGACGGUGCUUCGACCGCGACCCCAGGUCAGGCGGGACUACCCGCUGAGUUUAAGCAUAUCAAUAAGCGGAG
rnacentral:rRNA from 1 species